ensembl:lncRNA
GGGUCUGGGAGAGAUGCCAAGCCCUAUGUUGGAGACAUAGGGAAGCCAUUAAUGUUGACCUGAUGUCUGAGCCACCCAGCCUGCAAAUGAAGGCUGGAGGCCCUGCUUUCCAGCAUAUGUGGUUCACAUCCUGUGUGGUGCAGAGAGAAAGAACAUGGUUGCCCUCUCUCUUGUGCGUGCUCGGUUGUGCUGAGUAGUCAAAUCUGGCUGAAUUGAGUCAGAAAAGACAUCUGAGCUAAGAGGAUGCCUGAUGCCUGUUGGUUUUGUCUUGCCUCCAGUAAAAUUAAAAACAAGUUUCCUUUCAGCAUGUUACAAUCGAAUAAGCUGAGCAUUGUUGGUGCUGGUGUGGGACAUCUAGAAGCUGAACUUUGAAGAGACUACUGUGCAGCAUGAUUGUACUUCCCAGUGCAUGCCUGUUGUCCUGGUAUCAUUAUUAAUACAUACCCAUUUCACCCUGAGAAGUGUCCCUCAGCGAAUCACAAAUCAUGUGGCCACCCUAUCUAUAUGGCAUGCUUACAAAUGUUUAAAAGGCUUGUCAUCCCCACUUCUUUGUCUUGGUUUAAGCCUUCAUCAGCCCUCACCUAGACUAUUACGUUAAUAGCAACCCCAGACUAGGCACGGUAGCUCACACCUGUAAUCCCAGCACUUUGGGAGGCCGAGGUGCGUGGAUCACAAGGUCAGGAGUUCAAGACCAGCCUGUCCAAUAUGGUGAAACCCCAUCUCUACUAAAAAUACAAAAAUUAGCUGGGUGUGGUGGCACACACCUGUAGUCCCAGCUACUCGGGAGGCUGAGGCAGAAGAAUCACUUGAACCCGGGAGGCGGAGGUUACAGUAAGCAGAGAUGGUGCCACCGCACUCCAGCCUGGGCGACAAAGCCAGACUCCAUCUCAAAAAACAAUAAAAUAAAAUAAAAUAGUAACCCCAAUUGGUCUCCCAGACUUUAUCAUAAUAGUAGCUAACAUCUUUAGAAAUUUGCUAUCUUCCAAGCACUAUACUGACUUUACAAAGAUCACUAAACCACAGCACAAGCCAUUGAGAAGCAGAUCUUAUUAUUACAUUUUAUAAAUGAUAAACCGGAGCCACAGAGAGGUUCAAGAACUUGCUUAAGGUCACACAGGUAGGAAGUAGCAGAGCCAGGACUUGAAGCCAGUCUGUCUAACUUCAAAGUCCAAAUUACUCUUGAUGGCUCUCCAAUGUCUUCCCAACUCAUUCCCUUUUCAUACCUCUAACAGAGCAACCUUUUUGACACAUAAAUCUGACAGGAAGGACCAGGCAUGGUGGCUCAUACCUGUAAUCCCAGCACUUUGGAAGGCUGAGGUGGGCAGAUCAUUUGAAGUCAGAAGUUUGAGACCAGCCUGGCCAACGUGGUGAAACCCUGUCUCCACUAAAUAUGUCAAAAUUAGCUGGGCAUGGUGGUGCGUGUCUGUAGUCCCAGCUACUCAGAGGCUGAGGCAGGAGAAUCUCUUGAACUGGGGAGGCAGAGGUUGAAGUGAGCCGAGAUCACUCUGCUGUGCUCUAGCCUGGACAACAGAGCGAGACUCUGUCUCAAAAAAAAAAAAAAA